AUGGUUAAGUGACUAAGCGUACACGGUGGAUGCCUUGGCAGUCAGAGGCGAUGAAGGACGUAUUAACUUGCGAUAAGCCCAGAUUAGGUAGUAAAAACCAUUUGAGUCUGGGAUUUCCGAAUGGGGAAACCCACUUGCAUAAGCAAGUAUCCUGUUGUGAAUACAUAGCAACAGGAGGCGAACCGGGGGAACUGAAACAUCUAAGUACCCCGAGGAAAAGAAAUCAACCGAGAUUCCGAAAGUAGCGGCGAGCGAAAUUGGACUAGCCCUUAAGCUUUAUAUGCGUUAGACGAACGGUCUGGAAAGUCCGGCGAUACAGGGUGAUAGCCCCGUAGUUGACAACGCACAUUCAGUGAAAUCGAGUAGGGCGGGACACGUGAUAUCCUGUCUGAAUAUGGGGGGGGACCAUCCUCCAAGGCUAAAUACUACUGACUGACCGAUAGUGAACCAGUACCGUGAGGGAAAGGCGAAAAGAACCCCUGUGAGGGGAGUGAAAUAGAACCUGAAACCGUGUACGUACAAGCAGUAGGAGCACCUUCGUGGUGUGACUGCGUACCUUUUGUAUAAUGGGUCAGCGACUUAUAUUCAGUGGCAAGGUUAACCAUCUAGGGGAGCCGUAGGGAAACCGAGUCUUAACUCGGGCGUUCAGUCUCUGGAUAUAGACCCGAAACCAGGUGAUCUAGCCAUGGGCAGGU
rnacentral:rRNA from 1 species